GUAACAUAAAGAAGCUUGCUUCUUUGAUGACGAGUGGCGGACGGGUGAGUAAUGCUUGGGAAUCUAGCUUAUGGAGGGGGAUAACUACGGGAAACUGUAGCUAAUACCGCGUAGAAUCGGGAGAUGAAAGUGUGGGACCUUCGGGCCACAUGCCAUAGGAUGAGCCCAAGUGGGAUUAGGUAGUUGGUGAGGUAAAGGCUCACCAAGCCGACGAUCUCUAGCUGGUCUGAGAGGAUGACCAGCCACACUGGGACUGAGACACGGCCCAGACUCCUACGGGAGGCAGCAGUGGGGAAUAUUGCGCAAUGGGGGCAACCCUGACGCAGCCAUGCCGCGUGAAUGAAGAAGGCCUUCGGGUUGUAAAGUUCUUUCGGUAGCGAGGAAGGCAUUUAGUUUAAUAGACUAGGUGAUUGACGUUAACUACAGAAGAAGCACCGGCUAACUCCGUGCCAGCAGCCGCGGUAAUACGGAGGGUGCGAGCGUUAAUCGGAAUAACUGGGCGUAAAGGGCACGCAGGCGGUGACUUAAGUGAGGUGUGAAAGCCCCGGGCUUAACCUGGGAAUUGCAUUUCAUACUGGGUCGCUAGAGUACUUUAGGGAGGGGUAGAAUUCCACGUGUAGCGGUGAAUGCGU
rnacentral:rRNA from 1 species